rnacentral:rRNA from 1 species
GAUGAACGCUGGCGGCGUGCCUAAUACAUGCAAGUCGAGCGAACAGACGAGGAGCUUGCUCCUCUGACGUUAGCGGCGGACGGGUGAGUAACAAGUGGAUAACCUACCUAUAAGACUGGGAUAACUUCGGGAAACCGGAGCUAAUACCGGAUAAUAUAUUGAACCGCAUGGUUCAAUAGUGAAAGACGGUUUUGCUGUCACUUAUAGAUGGAUCCGCGCCGCAUUAGCUAGUUGGUAAGGUAACGGCUUACCAAGGCGACGAUGCGUAGCCGACCUGAGAGGGUGAUCGGCCACACUGGAACUGAGACACGGUCCAGACGCCUACGGGAGGCAGCAGUAGGGAAUCUUCCGCAAUGGGCGAAAGCCUGACGGAGCAACGCCGCGUGAGUGAUGAAGGUCUUCGGAUCGUAAAACUCUGUUAUUAGGGAAGAACAAAUGUGUAAGUAACUAUGCACGUCUUGACGGUACCUAAUCAGAAAGCCACGGCUAACUACGUG